UACGAAGGGGGCUAGCGUUGCUCGGAAUCACUGGGCGUAAAGGGUGCGUAGGCGGGUCUUUAAGUCAGGGGUGAAAUCCUGGAGCUCAACUCCAGAACUGCCUUUGAUACUGAAGAUCUUGAGUUCGGGAGAGGUAAGUGGAACUGCGAGUGUAGAGGUGAAAUUCGUAGAUAUUCGCAAGAACACCAGUGGCGAAGGCGGCUCACUGGCCCGAUACUGACGCUGAGGCACGAAGGCGUGGGGAGCAAACAGG
rnacentral:rRNA from 1 species